rnacentral:misc_RNA from 1 species
AAUCCUCAACCCCUUGGUUUUGACCUCGGGGCUUGGACUUGGAGCGUGCUGGCGUGAGUCGGCUCCUCUCAAAUGGAUCGGCGGAAUUCAAAUCUUGGAUGUCAGUGUGAUAAUCAUGUUGCGCUGUCGUUUGAGCUGUAAGGUCCGCUUACAAUGGUCUUCGGACAACUUCAUUUAA